CUUCUUCCGCCGCGGCUGCUGCCCGCCGUAACCGUUGUCCGCCCGGCUCCCGCCGCUGCCCGCCGCCGCCAUGUUGCGGCGCUCCCGCGACCUCCGCCCGCUCUCGGCGCACGGCGGGAGCGAGGGGCGGGGCCUCCCCGGCGCCGUGCGCGGAGCCGCCGCCGCCGCCAUCUUGGAGGAGGUCCGAGCGGGGUUCGGCCCUCGGGCUGCGGGAGGGGACUGCUGCCUUUUUCUUUGCGCCUUAAAACAAAGGCUGCAAAUAGGGUUCUGCGGGAUGAAGCAGGGCGGCGAACUCCUCAGAAAGCAGUGGGUUUUGUUUCCACAGUGAUUUAUGAAAAUUUUCGGACGGUAAUUUGUUAGCACGGUGUUCUCAGCCUUCCCAAUCAGCACUCCCAGAAAUGCUCGACAAGCGGCUCACUUCUUAUUCAUUUAUGCAACUGCAAAGAUUCCGUGUUGUCGAAGCCUGGCACUACAGAGGAGAGAGCUGUGACAGCCCGUGCCGGCUGCCCUGCCAGCCAACAGCACUGCAGAAAUCUGCAUACCUGGCAUGUAACUUGCAGAUGCCGCCUCAUCCACCCGCUGGGUGCUCUGGGUGCUCAUCACCGACGGGACUCUAAUGGGGUCAAUGAGGUUUCUGCAAACCCAGUAUCUCAACUAGUGAAAAGCAGCCAGUCCCCAGUCUCCGGUGCCGCUUAAGGAGACUGAAUUUUGUACAAAGGGGAAACAAAAGGAAUGAAGCGGUCCAACCUGUGCAGCUUCUUGCAUAACCUCUGCUUCUGGGGGCUGUUUCAACCCUACCACACCCAAAGCGUGGCUCUCUGCAAACAUCGUACGGGCUGGAUGAGGUUUAUAGGAAGAGGUAACACCUUUCAUUUGACCAGUUAGGAUAGCUGGCAAAAUUAGACAGGGUUGCAAGCACAUAAAGAUUCCUUCUGUGGAGAUGGAAUAGCCUUCCUCCUGUUCUUCAAACUGACAACAACGACAACAACAAAAGAAUUGAAGGUUAAAUACACAUUGGAAUCAACUGCUUAAAGCUGAAUUAGUCUUCCUGCACUACACAUUUCCCCAUCGUAAGGAAUUCUUAGCUGUAAGAGAAGACCAGAGCUGUGGUGGUGUCCCAUCCCAUUCAUGUUUGCAGUCACUGUGAGAUACGCAGUAAGGCUGGAGACACGUAAGUAGUACCAGCGCCGUGCUGCACCUGGGGGCACAUGGGCACAGCAGCCCUCCUGCUGCACUCACAAAACAGGGCGAGUGCAGCAGUACCGCAAAGACUGAGCAAGUUUCAUUGUUGCCACCUCACCCAUUCCUGUGCCAGGCAGGUGUGAGGACAGAAUAGGAAAAGACAGCUGCUGUCGGUUUCCUUAAGCGAUGUGAACGCAGCGACGCCUGCAAUAGAGCAUACAAGUAGCGUGCUUUGUGGUAUUAUUUAUUUAGGAACUGUGAGUAACUACAGCCGUAGCGUUCUCAUCUUUGCAAUUCUGAUGGUUUAACAAACAGGGAAAACAUUAGCAUAUUUUUAUUAAGGUACAAAAUACACCCCAUUGUUGCCUAAAACAUUUAAAAACGUGAGAAAAGCUCUGUAUGUUCUAAAUCAGAUUAAAAACCUUUCUGUAUAAGGAAUCGUGGCAAUACUGUGUUUAGUAUAACAAGAGUUCUUUAUCAAUUGAAAAGGAAAAGACAUGCUGGCAAUCUGAACUUAGCAACAAAGAGUAAAGCAGUUAAAAACCAUUGUGUCAUCCACAUUAGUUGAGCUUUGAAUGCAGAAGAGCAAAUCAUAUGAAACACGUACACAACUCGGUAAUAUCAAACAACCUAAGGCUGAUAUUGUACACACCUGUAAUAAAGUACACUGCCUACUUAACUGUGAGGACUUAAGGUAUUCUUUUAAAGAGGUAACCUUUGAAAUUGUUGCACUUUACACACAAAGUGGAAAAGAAAAAGAAUCACUUUUGGAAUGAUACAUAAAUGUAAGAAAGACAUGCUGCUUUUGGAUUAUGCAUAUCACCUUACAGCCUCUGAUAUUACCUCUGAACAGCAACAACAACAAAAAAUAAAAAGUGCCAAUACUGUGAAAGGAAAGCAAAGUUAUUAAGUCUUGAGUGCCUUAACCAUUUCUGAAAGAAAGCCUGGGCUUUGGGCUUUUUGUUUCUUCUUUUUUUUUUUUUUCCUGCAUUUUUUAAAAAG